AACGAACGCUGGCGGCAGGCCUAACACAUGCAAGUCGAGCGCAUCAUUCGGGGUGAGCGGCGGACGGGUGGGUAACGCGUGGGAACGUGCCUUCUUCUAUGGCAUAGCCUCGGGAAACUGAGCGUAAUGCCGUAUAUGCUAGCAAGGGGAAAGAUUUAUCGGAGGAGGAUCGGCUCGCGUUGGAUUAGGUUGUUGGUGGGGUAACGGCCUACCAAGCCGACGAUGCAUAGCUGGUUUGAGAGGCUGGUCAGCCACACUGGGACUGAGACACGGCCCAGACUCCUACGGGAGGCAGCAGUGGGGGAUCUUGGACAGUGGGGGCAACCCUGAACCAGCCAGGCCGGGUGAGCGAUGAAGGCCUUAGGGUUGUAAAGUUCUUUCAGCUGUGAAGAUAUUGACGGUACCAGCAGAAGAAGCCCCGGCUAACUCCGUG
rnacentral:rRNA from 1 species